AUUGAACGCUGGCGGCAUGCCUUAUACAUGCAAGUCGAACGGUAACAGGCCGCAAGGUGCUGACGAGUGGCGAACGGGUGAGUAAUGCAUCGGAACGUGCCCAGUCGUGGGGGAUAACGCAGCGAAAGCUGCGCUAAUACCGGAUACGAUCUAUGGAUGAAACCGGGGGACCGUAAGGCCUCGCGCGAUUGGAGCGGCCGAUGUCAGAUUAGGUAGUUGGUGGGGUAAAGGCCCACCAAGCCAACGAUCUGUAGCUGGUCUGAGACGACGACCAGCCACACUGGGACUGAGACACGGCCCAGAAUCCUACGGGAGGAAGCAGUGGGGAAUUUUAGACAAUGGGAGCAAGCCUGAUCCAGCAAUGCCGCGUGCAGGAAGAAGGCCUUCGGGUUGUAAACUGCUUUUGUACGGAACGAAACGGUCCUGGUUAAUACCUGGGGCUAAUGACGGUACCGUAAGAAUAAGCACCGGCUAACUACGUGCCAGCCGCCGCCGUAAGAC
rnacentral:rRNA from 1 species